AACCCUUGGUGUGCCCACACUCUCCUCUUACACUCAUUCCUUCUGCUGUGUCGAGAAUAAAAGUGCCGACAUUGUCCCCAACCGAUUCGCCAAAGAGAGACUUGCUUCUGCAGGGUUAGGGGAAAAAGUCUGACAUUUCAAGGUAGUCAAACAAAUCUGAAUGAAUUUAGAAAAUUUAUUUUAGAGGCCUAUCCCAAACUCAGACAAGGGGGUGGAUUUGAGUUGCUCCGAAUUGCUGGAACUACAAGAAGUCGCCAACUGAUCCUCAUCCCGUGUCCCAAUGAGGGCUACCAUGUGAGACAUUUGAAAGAUCCACAAAACCAGAUUGGUCAUGCUAUUAUUUUCAUUCGACCACUCCAAAGGAACCUGGAUCUCGAGCAUGUAUGUCAACCAGAAUGCAACAAUGGGCUGGUUGGACCACCUGAGAAAUGUAUCACUUGUGGAGAGGAGUUUCCUUUUUCACAAAUCAAAGCUCAUAGUGAUGAAUGCAUGAGGUACUGCCCUACAGAACUAAAACAUAUCAUUUGUCAAGCACACUGCAUGUGUAGUCAUAUAUUUGACAUGACCCAUUUGGCUGUGUGAGUCAUCCAACAAGUGUAAAGCAUCCUGACUGUUGUGUGUGUAUGUAGGAUAAACAAUUAUAGCUAUAAAUGUAUAAGAACACAAUAGAUGAGCUCUUUCUAUACCAACCAUCCUGUUUGUGUCUAUCCAUAUUUUUCUGUCUUCAAUAAGACAAACAAAUGUGGUGGACACUGUUUGGGUUGUACUGGUUCCAGGCUGAAACCAGAUCACCCCAAGAAUGUGAAUGUAGCUUUUUUUUAACCUGUAAGUUUCUGCAGGAUAAAGUCAACCAGGUUAUCCAGUGGCUGAUUGACAAUCCCUUUGCUAUUGCUGUAUGACAGUUGAAAAUCUAUGUGAUUUGACUUUUCUAUUUUAAUUUAAGUGCCAGGAGGAACCCUUCUUUUUGAGGGUGAAAAUGAUCAUCUGAUACCCUCCACUUCCCAUAUCCUUUUGGAGAGUGACUUAUUUGUUGUUGCUGGACGAUUCAUUUCUGCAUGAUGGGUCAUGCCUGGGUGGACUGAGCCCAGCAAUCCUGCAUAUGCUCUUUGGUGGAUCCCCAGAAGAAGCCACUAUAGAUAUUAAGGACUGUGCUGACCUUGUGCUGACAAAAUAUGUAUAUUUUGUCAAGAUUUUAAAAUAACUAGGGCUAGGACAAUGAAAAUAAUAUUUUAAGUCAGGAAGAAAUGAUUAACAAAUGCUUAAAUAUAAAUUAAUUAAAUAAGAAAAAAAACUUAAUUCAGUAUUCUUCCACAAUCACAUCAUACAGUUAAUAUUUUCACCAGCAGGGGGUGCUAAACCAACAGUUUUACCAUGUUAUAAACUACUACCAUGCUGACCACAUGAAUUUUUAAUAAAAUUGAAAUGUUUGAUGUGGUUUGAUUUGACAACUUUGAUGAUUUAUGUACGGAAUAUUAAUCUUGGCACAGCAGAGUUAUCAUCUGAAGAAAAGAGCAUUAUCAAUGAGUUGGCACUGUCCUGGUAUUUGCCUCCAGUCACGUGAAAACAGGAGAUGGCUGCUUGACAAAAUGCUACUCCAUGCUGGGAGUAUUCUGUACUUAAGACUUCAUAUAAAUCACACUAACUAAUCAAGAGUUUUGAUGAAAGACUGAAAUUUGGCCUUCUUUUUGUCAGAUACCUCCCAGAUGUUUGUUGAUGAGAAAUUAAUGAUAGCUUAUAUGGCAAUCGGUUGAAGAUCAGUAAGGCUUCAUGACUUUUCUGUUGUGAUACAAAUAUUUUGCAGGUCCUAGGAAGAACCUUGAAACAAGUCAAACAGUUACGAAAGGGUUUAACUCAGUCAGCCUUUGCUAACUGAAAGGAAAGACAAUUCCUCUUCUCUUUCCAAGAGCGUCAGAUUCAGAGUACACACCACGGGUAAGUGAACUCAGGCUGCUACUAAUCGUACAGUAUCUGUCAAAAACACUACAAACUCAGGAGUUACUAUCUUAAACGUGUUUUGUAUUCUACCUUCUGGCAACCUCUGGUUUCAGUUUAUUACACCAAAAAUAACCUGGAGAGAUCUGAAAUAUUUUGCAGAUGAAUAAUCAGUCCGUGUUGUUCCCUCUUACAAAUGUUCUUUAUCAUUGGAUAAGCAAGCUCUGCACAAAGAGAGUUGUUCUGAAGUCUCUGCGAGUUAAUUUUCAUAGAAACAACGGCUGCCUGAAAGGAAGGAAAUCAAUCCAAAAAAUGAUGAUUUUGAAAACUCUCAACAGGAACGCAAAGUACUCAUCAUGGUCAUCUUACACAUGCAAAACCACCAGUAUGGCCCUUCCAAAACUGCUUACCACCACAUACUGAUCAAAUAACAAUUGUAAUUAUUAGAAUUAAUAACUUAUAUUUCCUGUACUGUACUCUAUUGUGCUAUAUAUACACUCUGGACUGCUUGAAAAAACAAGUGUUAACUGUUUGAAAAAUAAUGUAUCUGUCCGAUGGUCUUGGACAACAUAAAGUGGCCAACACAGGAUGAGGACUGAUGUCUCUUUGGAGGACACCUGUAGGAUCACAGGAUUCCUUCGCACAUUUAUUGAGAACGCAUCUCCAAACUUCCUUGGGAAACUCCUGCAGUUCUGGGUUGGAUGGAGUGUGCUUCCCAGACACUUGGACGUUGAGGUGGUGGAGAGCAACUUCCCCAAGUCUUCCACCUGCUGAAAAUUCCAGGACAUUACAAAGAGUAUGGUAACUUUGAAAGAGACAUUCUCGCUGCUAUUUGUAGCACUGACAAUGGGUUUGGAAUGGUCUAAUGAGACAGUAUAGUUUCGCCACUGUAUUGGUGCUGGUGCAAUAAAGCCGGCAUGUUUGUGAUAUAGUACAGCAUAUGUAAUUUACUUCAUUAUGCCUCUGUCAGUUAAUCACACUGUUCACUAAGUGAAAUUGUUUAAAAGCCAGUGGUCGCUGUUCUUCAAUUAAAUAUAUUGUUCUGAAAAAAGAUGUAGCAGCUCCUU